rnacentral:lncRNA from 1 species
UGUAGACGAGAGCCGAACACGAGCCGGCUUGUUAAAGUAUCGAGUCAAAAAAUUCAGCUCAUGUUCAGCAUGAGCUGGCUCACGAGCUGGCAAACGAAUAAUAAAUUAAAAGAAUUAGAUUGAAUAUAUAUAAAAAAUAAAUUUAUAAAAUUUUAUCCAUUAGAUUUUGAUCUAAUAGUUGAAAUUUUACAUAUAAAUAAGUUUUUUUUUUAUAAUUAAGCUCACCUUUAUAUUUUUAUUUUGCUAAAAAUUAAAUAAUAAAAAUAUAUAUUAUAUAUAUAAUUAUUUAUUUAUAUAUGUAAAUAUAAAUUAAAUAAGUUAUAUAAAUAUAAAAUAUAUGUAUUCGAGCUGUUAUCGAGCCGAACACGAGCGAGCUAAUCCUAGCUCGUGUUCGGCUCGUUUAUCAAACGAGCCAAAAAAUUCAGCUCAUGUUCAGCUCGAAAGAGAGAAAUGCAAUAGCUUAAUUCCUCUCAGUGUUGAUCUUUCAUCCUAGUCUACAAGUCUAUUCACGAUCUCCUCUCGAUGUCUGUCUCUUAUUUAACGACGCUUGCUUUCUAAACAAUGUUAUAUGAUAUCAACAGGUUUCUAUAAAAUUACCGACCGUCCCUAGAGUAAGUGGCAAAGGAUUUGGUGGUUGGUAUCCGAGACCUAAAUUCGAAUCCUAGUUGAUUCACAUUUCUAGUUAAAUUUAUUUCUAAAUAAAAUAAACGAAACAGAUAGCGUGCUACAUAUCUCUCAAAAAAAACAGUUUUUUAUAAAAUUGCU